GGCAGCCUGUGCACCAUGUGUUUUUAAUUCCACAGUGGCCCGGGUCCCCCUAGGGCAGGUUCACGUGGAAAGAAUAAUGGCUGUGAGUGGCUGACUCGGGAUGCUGGAGGAGAGCGUGGGUGACAGGUUGUGUUAGGCACUUCUCAGUGACCGAGCCAAGGGGCCGGGGCCAGGCUCCCGGUGGAAGAGAGGCCUCUGCCCGGUGCAGGGGACCAGGCACCAGGGUGAUGAACAGCGGCCUUCUCCUUCCCUCUCUCCACCCUGCGCUGUGGAAAACUGAUCCGGGGCUCUGGGUGUUUGAUGAUGGGGAAAAGAGGAGCCAUCACCUCGACACACCCAUGGGCAGGAACAGGAACCCUGCAUAGGACCAGCCCAUCUGUGCUCCUUACCACUGGGAGCACAAAGUCCACGGGAAGGAUUUUCUGUUACAGAACAGCGUGUGCUGGGAUUGGAGGUGCUUUUCCCAGCUAGGAAAGCUGGCUU
rnacentral:lncRNA from 10 species